rnacentral:tRNA from 1 species
AGCUCAGUUGGUAGAGCGUUCGGCUUUUAAAACCGAAAUGUCAGGGGUUCGAGCCCCCU